rnacentral:rRNA from 1 species
UACGGAGGGGGCUAGCGUUGUUCGGAAUUACUGGGCGUAAAGCGCACGUAGGCGGAUAUUUAAGUCAGGGGUGAAAUCCCGGGGCUCAACCCCGGAACUGCCUUUGAUACUGGGUAUCUGGAGGUCGAGAGAGGCGAGUGGAAUUCCGAGUGUAGAGGUGAAAUUCGUAGAUAUUCGGAGGAACACCAGUGGCGAAGGCGGCUCGCUGGCUCGAUACUGACGCUGAGGAGCGAAAGCGUGGGUAGCAAACAGG